UGCUUGCACCUUUCAAGCGAGUGGCGAACGGGUGAGUAACACGUGGAUAACCUGCCUCAAGGCUGGGGAUAACAUUUGGAAACAGAUGCUAAUACCGAAUAAAACUUAGUAUCGCAUGAUAUCAAGUUAAAAGGCGCUACGGCGUCACCUAGAGAUGGAUCCGCGGUGCAUUAGUUAGUUGGUGGGGUAAAGGCUUACCAAGACGAUGAUGCAUAGCCGAGUUGAGAGACUGAUCGGCCACAUUGGGACUGAGACACGGCCCAAACUCCUACGGGAGGCUGCAGUAGGGAAUCUUCCACAAUGGGCGCAAGCCUGAUGGAGCAACGCCGCGUGUGUGAUGAAGGCUUUCGGGUCGUAAAGCACUGUUGUAUGGGAAGAAAUGCUAAAAUAGGGAAUGAUUUUAGUUUGACGGUACCAUACCAGAAAGGGACGGCUAAAUACGUGCCAGCAGCCGCGGUAAUACGUAUGUCCCGAGCGUUAUCCGGAUUUAUUGGGCGUAAAGCGAGCGCAGACGGUUGAUUAAGUCUGAUGUGAAAGCCCGGAGCUCAACUCCGGAAUGGCAUUGGAAACUGGUUAACUUGAGUGUUGUAGAGGUAAGUGGAAAUCCAUUGG
rnacentral:rRNA from 1 species